AGAUUAUUUUGAGGACAAUUCCUCAACAAACCCUUAUAACGCUCCCAUGACUCAUAUAAUGACUCUCCCGCUUGUUGCUCAAAAUUUGCAAUAUUCUUCUUCAACUU